rnacentral:rRNA from 1 species
UAAUGUAUGGGGAUCUGCCCGAUAGAGGGGGAUAACUACUGGAAACGGUGGCUAAUACCGCAUAAUGUCUACGGACCAAAGCAGGGGCUCUUCGGACCUUGCACUAUCGGAUGAACCCAUAUGGGAUUAGCUAGUAGGUGGGGUAAAGGCUCACCUAGGCGACGAUCUCUAGCUGGUCUGAGAGGAUGAUCAGCCAUACUGGGACUGAGACACGGCCCAG